ACCUGGAUUCCAGACGCCACCCCCUCAGACUCCAAGUCGUGAGGUUUAAUUUGCCAUUGAUAUCUCUGGAAUGACUCAGCUGAGAUUUUUCGUGCCUCCAGAAAGCAACUCUAGAUUAGACAAUGGUGAAAAAACUGGCCUCUGAGAAACAACAGAAACUCACCUUGGGUGACACGGCUCAAAAAAAUGGCAAA